rnacentral:rRNA from 1 species
GACGAACGCUGGCGGCGUGCUUAACACAUGCAAGUCGAACGGAAAGGCCCUGCUUUUGUGGGGUGCUCGAGUGGCGAACGGGUGAGUAACACGUGAGUAACCUGCCCUUGACUUUGGGAUAACUUCAGGAAACUGGGGCUAAUACCGGAUAGGAGCUCCUGCUGCAUGGUGGGGGUUGGAAAGUUUCGGCGGUUGGGGAUGGACUCGCGGCUUAUCAGCUUGUUGGUGGGGUAGUGGCUUACCAAGGCUUUGACGGGUAGCCGGCCUGAGAGGGUGACCGGGCACAUUAGGACUGAGAUACGCACCAGACUCCUACAGGAGGCAGCAGUGGGGAAUAUUGCACAAUGGGCGGAAGCCUGAUGCAGCAACGCUGCGUGCGGGAUGACGGCCUUCGGGUUGUAAACCGCUUUCGCCUGUGACGAAGCGUGAGUGACGGUAAUGGGUAAAGAAGCACCGGCUAACUACGUG